ACCAGACAUGCUCUUCUCUGGGUCCUACUAAAAUUGGAACGAUACAGAGAAGAUUAGCAUGGCCCCUGCGCAAGGAUGACACACAAAUCCUUAGCUUAUUCUU
rnacentral:snRNA from 1 species